rnacentral:rRNA from 1 species
GACGAACGCUGGCGGCGUGCCUAAUACAUGCAAGUAGAACGCUGAGGCGAGGAGCUUGCUCUUCUUGGAUGAGUUGCGGACGGGUGAGUAACGCGUGGGUAACCUGCCUUUUAGCGGGGGAUAACUACUGGAAACGGUAGCUAAUACCGCAUAAUAUAUGAUGCCACAUGUUUUUAUAUUAAAAGACGGAUUUGCUGUACCAUAAAGAUGACCUGCGUUGGCUUUGCUAAUAUGUGAAGUAAUCGCCAACCUAAGGGACGAUACAUAGGCCGCCUUAGAGGGUGAUCGGCCACACUGGGACUGAGACACCGCCCAGACUCCCACGGGAAGCCACAGUAGGGGAACUUCGGCAAAUGGGGCAACCCUGACCGAGGAACGCCGCGGGAGGGAAGAAGGUUUUUGGAUCGGAAAGCCCUGUUGUAAGUCAAGAAAGGGUGUGGGAGUGGAAUGUUCACACUGUGACGGUAGCUAACCAGAAAGCGACGGCUAACUACGUG